rnacentral:rRNA from 1 species
CAGUAGCCGCGGUAAUACGUAGGUGGCAAGCGUUGUCCGGAGUUAUUGGGCGUAAAGGGCUCGCAGGCGGUUUCUUAAGUCUGAUGUGAAAGCCCCCGGCUCAACCGGGGAGGGUCAUUGGAAACUGGGAAACUUGAGUGCAGAAGAGGAGAGUGGAAUUCCACGUGUAGCGGUGAAAUGCGUAGAGAUGUGGAGGAACACCAGUGGCGAAGGCGACUCUCUGGUCUGUAACUGACGCUGAGGAGCGAAAGCGUGGGGAGCGAACAGGAUUAGAUACCCCAGUAGUCCCUGUCUCUUAUAC